AUCGCUUCUCGGCCUUUUGGCUAAGAUCAAGUGUAGUAUCAAAAAUGGAGAAACACACCAUUUUCUCUUUUAUUUGUGUAUGAGCACAAUGUAUGUUUUUCAUCCCUCUUUGUUCUGUGUUCUCUCUUCCACAUGCGGUAAGUGGCAACUUUAA
rnacentral:snRNA from 1 species